ensembl:snRNA U2 U2 spliceosomal RNA
AUCGCUUCUUGGCCUUUUGGCUAAGAUCAAGUGUAGUAUCUGGUACUGUAUCACAAGACAAUUUCAAAUGCUGCCUCUUUUUGGGAAAACAGUUCAAAUGAAUGUUGCUUGUAGAGUAGGUUUCCAACUGCCAUUUUCCUUUUAUUUAUUGAUUCAACUAAUAUUUAUUAAAUGUUGCUUGUGCCAGGAAAUAUUAGGAAUACAAAGUUCCUACUCUCGUACAAGUGUACAUUUUAA